GACGGGGGGGGCAAGUGUUCUUCGGAAUGACUGGGCGUAAAGCGCACGUAGGCGGCUUUGUAAGUUAGAGGUGAAAGCCCGGGGCUCAACUCCGGAAUUGCCUUUAAGACUGCAUCGCUAGAAUUGUGGAGAGGUAAGUGGAAUUCCGAGUGUAGAGGUGAAAUUCGUAGAUAUUCGGAAGAACACCAGUGGCGAAGGCGACUUACUGGACACAUAUUGACGCUGAGGUGCGAAAGCGUGGGGAGCAAACAGG
rnacentral:rRNA from 1 species